AAGCUUAAACUUAGCCAAAAGUCUCAGCUGAAAGAAACUGUUUUUAACAACAGAACUAAUCUGUUUGUCAAAUUUAAAAGCACUGUCAACAAUCACACCCAAAUUCUUGGUAAAAGGACAAAUAUGGGAAAAUACAGUACCAACACCAGCAUCUACACAGGCACUAAAAUGUUCAGCACAACCAAACACCACAAUUUCAGUCUUACUGUCAUUGAAAAAUAGAGAAAAUUCUGAUCCAACCAUACUUUGAGAUCUCUCAAGCAGUUAAGCAAAGUGUGUCCUUAUCGUUGUUUUUUACAGGCAAAUAUAUUUGUACAUUGUCUGCAAAAGAAUGAAACAAAAU